CCUACGGGAGGCAGCAGUGGGGAAUAUUGCACAAUGGGCGAAACCCUGAUGCAGCGACGCCGCGUGAGCGAAGAAGUAUUUCGGUAUGUAAAGCUCUAUCAGCAGGGAAGAAAAUGACGGUACAUGAGUAAGAAGCUCCGGCUAAAUACGUGCCAGCAGCCGCGGUAAUACGUAUGGAGCAAGCGUUAUCCGGAUUUACUGGGCGUAAAGGGAGCGUAGGCGGCCUUCCAAGUCUGAUGUGAAAUACCGGGGCUCAACCCCGGGGCUGCAUUGGAAACUGGCCGGCUAGAGUGCCGGAGAGGCAGGCGGAAUUCCUAGGGGAGCGGUGAAAUGCGUAGAUAUUAGGAGGAACACCAGUGGCGAAGGCGGCCUGCUGGACGGUGACUGACGCUGAGGCUCGAAAGCGUGGGGAGCAAACAGGAUUAGAUACCCCUGUAGUC
rnacentral:rRNA from 1 species